CCCCCGCGGUCCCUCCGGGAGCCGCCGCGCUGCGCAUGCGUGUUCGGCCGCGGGGGCGGGCCCCCCUCACGACCGUCCGCCAUGUUGGCGGCGGCUCCGCCAGUCCCGGGUGUCGCCGCGUCCCUCGAGUCUCUCUGACGGGGGUGGGAGGCGCCUGAGGCCACGUCGGUACCACCUCGAGCCGCCUUGGUGGUACCUCGGUACCGCAGUAGCGCGUUCUACCUGUCAGCAGCCGCCUGAGCCUCACCCCUUACACCGCGUUUGCCUCCAGAAGCUGAGAGUUCCCAUUCAUUUUAUUAUUUUUCCCUGUUCUAAGACUGCGUGGCCGUUUCCCGGUGAAAGGGCUGCAGGGAGCGUGUCCCUCGGUGCCGGCGCUGCCCCCGCCGUGGCUCUGGGGGGUAGGAGGUGUCAGUCCCGCUAUUUUCACUUGUGUAAAUUUGUGAUAACUUUGAUAGAUUCCCUCCUCCCCCUCCCGUAGCCUGCAAUGCUCCCCAGUAAGUGACAGCUGGUUAUUCACGUUCUGGUUUGCCCAGGUACCGUUAUUCUUUGCUUUGACACCGAGGGAAGGGGUGGGGGUGGGUGACUCGGUCCGUGCCCCAGGGAGGUGGGAGCCACGGGAAAUAAAUCAUUUCAGAGCUCAUUUCAGAGCUUUCAGGAAAGGACUCUGAUGUACUUAUACAAUCGUGGGUUUGGGUUGGAAGGGACCUCACAGCCCAUCCAGUCCCACCCCCUGCCAUGGGCAGGGACACCUUUACUAAACCGGGUUGCUCCGAGCCCCGUUCGAGAAUUUCUUCCAUUGCUUAUUCCCUCUGGAUUUGGACUCCUUCACCUUCAGCGUACACUGGCUCCGUGCAGGGGCAUCUUGCUCAGCCUCUUCACAUAGUUCAGAAAUAAAUUUUCAGUCCUAACAACUCUUUGCUAAGGGAAUAGAGCUGUGUGGGUUGCACUCAGUGAGCUUAGGGGUCUGUUCCACCCUGAACCAUUGUAUGGUUCUAUACUGUGUUGCAGAAUAAUCCCCCGCUGCCCUUUUAACUCUGGGUACAAACCCUGAGCUAAGUGACCCUGUCACAGUGGGUCACUGUGGGAUGUUGUAGUCAACAGGCUUUCCUGCAGGUUGCUCCAGUACUUGUGGAAUUGAUUAAAGUGUAAAUGGGAUGUUUGCUGGACAAGAUAAAGAACAACUAGAAUCAUCUUCACACCCAAUGCUUCUCAGAAGUUUAGAUAAUUUGACAACAUUUGACAUAAUAAAGGAAGUGGAAUGAAGAGCAAACAAAGCUUUUGACAAAAUAUAAAGGACCUUAAUACUAAUGUUGUGGGUUUUGAACAAGCCACACUUUCCAAUGGAGUUGGUGAAGAGGGAGGACAGGAGGAGAGAAGCACACGUGGAGCUUGUUCCAAGCCCAGGUUCAACCCUUAAAUCCAGAACACUCUGUGUUUCCUUUGUGGGUGUUGUGUGCAAUGAAUCCCCGGUCUCAGUCUCACUGGCAGAGCAGUUUGUCACUCUUGGAGCUGUAAAGGACGUCCCGAAAGCAGGAACAGAGUGUGAGCAGUGUAACAAUGGCACUGCAGUCAGCCAGCCACGUUCCUGGUGUGCAGCUCGGAGAUGGGAAGAGCCCUUUAGCUGGGAGCAGCGGGAGCACGCACGGAUCUGUCCGAGCUCCAGGUACCUCUGCAGCCCGGGCAGAGCGUUCGGAGGAGGGCGGGAGCACGGCGUGUCCAUCCCCCCGGCCGGGCCGGGCUCUGCUCUGUCCCCAGCGUGGUCCCCCGUACGGCCGGCUCCGGUUUCUAUUGCAGCAAUCAAAGCCACAAGUCGCUCUCAAGACAAGCUCGCACGGAGCAAAUGCAAAUACAGCUGCGCUGCUGUUUGUGUAAAUCACCCAGGGCGUGCCCGGCACUCGGGCUGGAGGGUUAACACACCAAUAGCUGCAUUAACGAUUGCUGCAAAAUAUGCAGAGUCCUUCCUCGGGCUGACCCAGUAAUGUCAAGACCUGCUUGUGUGAUUGCAGUCACAGCUCAGAGAGCACACACAGCCUCACAGAGGCCUUUUGUUCCUGCCUGGCUGGAGCACGGGGAUCCACUCUGGGACACUGGGCAGACACAGCUUGGAGCUUUCAACGUGCUCCUCCAUGUUUGGUGCUCGAGGUGUGAGCCAAGAGCUGCGUGUGACAACACAAGGACUGGGACCAGGCGGGCCCUGGACAGCUUCAGUCUGGAUCUAGGGAUGAAGCAGCUGAUCUGCAUCAUCCCACCAGCCCCGCUGGCAUGGCACCAUUUCAAAGGCAGAAUUCUGACCACCCCUGCCACCCCAGACUCUCUGCAGCCACAGUCCAUGCUCUCUUGGCCUAAUCCCUCUCCUAGAAGCCGAAGUCCAGCCCUCCUGAGCACAGGAGAUGUGGGUGCUACCGUGUGCUGGCAUUCCCAGAGUCACUGUUCUUGGGUGAAGGUCUCCCCUCCUUCAGGCUGUGUUGGAGUUUGGUGUCUGGCCACGGGCAGCUACCCUGGAGAACCUGUGUGGAGUGACUUGGGGGUUUGGGGAGGUGGCAGCCUACAGAAGACAGGCCUGUCUCGUGGGGACUUUGUCCAUGGGAAGAGCUCCUCCACCAGGAACUGUGGUAACAACGCUCCGUCCUCUGGUGGGGACACAGGACUGACAUGCCAGCUGCAGAGACACUCCCUCCAAGUGGAUCCUGGAGCCCCCAGAGCCGAGGUGGCCUCACUCAGGCCCCGCUGCUUUGGCUGUGACACUCGGAGCCACCUGGAGCCGCAGUGUCCAACGGGCCCGGGGCUGUUUCCUUCCUCAGAACUUCACCCUGAAGCAACGGCUCGAACAGUUCACUGUCAAAGUUUCACUUCCCAAACAGUGCCGUGCUAUAAAUACCCUGGGCAGUGGAUAUGACAUUUACUCCCACACACGAGGCAGGCGUGCUUUGUGCCUUGCGUGCUCCAGGCCUUAACCCUCGAGUAAACACGAGGAGCAGGAUGAUCCCGGUGGAGGGAGCCCAGCUUGGCCUGAUCCUCAUUCCUGCUGUCGUGUGAAGAGAGAUGGAGGGAGAUACAUCCAGGGUGCAGAGCUGGGCAUGCACCAAGGGCAGCAUGUCCAAAGUCUUCCCCCCCUACAGGAGCCUGCAAGAAACUAUUCCUCUUCCUGGACCCUUAAAAGGAGAAUUAUUUCCUUCCCCAGGUUAGAGGAAAUGUAGAAAAUAUGAUCUCUGAGGGAGGAGUGAAAGAAUUGUUUGGUCCAGAGGAGCCAAGCCUGGGACAGCUGGAGAUGAACUGACUUCCAGCCUCCCCUUCACAGCUGCACUUCCUGCCCUGCUGGGAUAACCCUCCUCAACAAAUAAAAGGCUGCCAUGGAAAAGAAGGGAAUAAACUGCCCAGGGCCUGACUGGAGAGGAUGGGGAACCACGGGGUGAGCUGUGGUAAGAGCUUUAACCAGACACUGGGGCCUGGCUGGGUGUGAACACAGCCCAGGACAGGUUCUCUGGUGCUGAGGCUCCCCUGGGGGAAGUUUCAAGGGGAAAAAGCACAGAUUAAACAAACAUCCCACGGGAGGGGUUUGGGCUGCAUGGGAUGACACCACAGAGCUGAGCUCACGGUGCCAACUUGUGUGAGAUCCAGGGAUCUCAGAGACUUUCAGAGACAGGAAAUACCUGUGACAUUCUUUUGGCAUUGGGAGCCUGGGUGUCUGUGAAAUCUUCCCAGGAAUUUGGAACACUGUGGAACAAACACCCGUGGUGAGGGCUUGGAGUUGUGUGGGGUGUGUUGGAAUCACCCCUCCAGCUCUGCUCCUCCACUGCUGUUUCCAGCAGCCCCUCACUGCGCUCAGCCCUGACCCCGACCCUCCCCUCCCAGAGGGGAUUUUUGGAAGGUUUCACUCCCCUCACUGACUCUCCAGCUGCCUCAGGCCAUGGCAUGUAGGGGAAGGAUGGAGAACCACCAUGGGGACACCAUGGAGUGACCCUGGAGCUGGGAACCUCCCCUGCUGAUCUCUCCCAGCAGCUCCUCUGCUCCAGCUGCUUCCCCUCAGAGCUGUGGGCUGCUCCAGGCUCAGUCUCAGUUCCAGGCAGGAUGGAUCCUCUGCACAGUUCCUGGAGAGGUUCAAGAGUCCCAUGGCCUCCCUGCAGAAGAGCUGCUCACAUGUCACCCUCCCAGCAGCAGCUGGGGCUCCAAAGACAUAAAUAAAGCAGGAGAGAAAAAGAGAGGGCAAGUGGUCUGGACCAUCUGCAGGGACAAGAAAUAGUGAGAGAAUGUUCUUCUCAGCUUUUCUGUGCUGUAACACAAGAGAAACACCCUGACAGGGUGAUGAAGCUCCAAACCAGAUGGUAUCACAGGGUAUGGAAUGCUCCCCUUCCUCCUCCUCUGCUGAGCUUUUGGGGCAGGUUGAACAGAAUUCCACACAGGAAUGCUGUGGGUAAAGUCAGCCUUGCCAGGGGCUGUGGGUGCCUGGGUGUUUUCCUCAAGGUCAGCUGCUCCCCUUCCUUCUGCAAAGUCUAGGACCUUCCUAUAGGACUUGACCCUAAAUCCAUGGAUUUUAGCCAAACCCUAAUCAACCCAAAGAGUCAGGGCUGCUGGAAUGGGGGCUGGGGAUGAGCUGAAGCCCCUCAGCACAGGGGUGACAAUGUGCCAGGACAGCAGCUGAGGCAUCAAAACCCAGCCUUCCCUUGGGCCCAGCCCCUGAACCCUCAGUCCUUGAGCAGCACUUGCUCCUCAAGGGCACCAGUUAUCCCGAUAUUUGCUGUGGAAGCAGGCAAAGGACACUGGUAGGUGACAGCCCGUGGCACUGCACAGGUCUGGAUACACCCAGGGGAGCGCAGAGAGCCAACAGGAGCAGGCUGGGGACAGAGCCAGAGCCAUCUCAGUCACACCGUGAGCUGCUGCACACCAGUGACACCCCCUGUCCCUGUGUGACACUGCCACCGUGCCACCACAGCCCCGCGAGUGUCCCCAAAGGCCAGCAGUGCCCACCAGGUGAGGCAGCUGCAGGGGUGGCUCUGGGGACAUCUCACAGCCUCCAGCUCACACCAGCAGCACGAGGUGACAAGGGACAUCCCCUUUUCCAGCCUCCUGCCCGUGCUUCUGGGAGAAGAGCUCAGCGGCUGGGAAAGCUGCUGCAGGGAGGGUGUCCCAGCACUGCCAGGAGCUGGUGGCACUUCCCUGGGACCAGGAACCCCUCCCUGGGAAGGGGGGAGCUCAGGCACUGCCCACCCACCCCGACCACCCCCACGGUGGGAUUGGAAGCUGCAAGGCAGGAGAACCCGGAGACAUCCCUGGGAUGAGAGCCCAGGAACGAGUCCCCAGUGCUGGCACCGACACAGCACGGCCAGGGAAUGCUGCUGCCUCCGAGCCUGCAUUGCCCACCCACCUUUCCUCCUCCCCCUUCCUUGGCCAAACCCAGCACAGAGAGGCUUCCAGCUGUCCCCCAGCCCCGAACAGCCUGGGCUGCCAGAGCAGAGAGGCCCUUUGGACCCCCGGGGACCACUGACAUGCCCGCAGGGCUGCUCUGCAAGUGCUCCCCGAGUCAGGCGUGUGAGCACCCUCCUCCUGCCCCCCUGCCCGGGGCACCCACGUACCCAGCCCUCACCCCCUUCUCCUGCCCCCCUGCCCAGGGCACACUCGUACCCAGCCCUCACCCCCUCCUCCUGCCCCCCUGCCCGGGGCACACUCGUACCCAGCCCUCCGACAGCCUGAGCCCACCCUGCUCUCGGUCCCUGCCCAGGCAGGGGACUCUGUUAAACGAUGCCAAUAAAUACUUUAUUUACCAAAUCCACGUUA